AGAACAUGGUGGUAACAGAGAGUUUGAUUAUGGCUCAGAUUGAACGCUGGCGGGAUGCUUUACGCAUGCAAGUCGAACGACAGCACGGACUUCGGUCUGGUGGCGAGUGAACGGGUGAGUAAUGUAUCAGAACGUGCCUAGUAGCAGGGGAUAACUACGCGGCGCCAGCUAAUACCGCAUACGCCCUUCGAAGCGGGGACCGCUGGGCACUCGCACUAUUGAAACGGCCGAUAUCCGGAUUAGCUAGUUGGUGGGGUAACGGCUCACCAAAGGCGACGAUCCGUAGCUGGUACCUGAGGACGGCCAGCCACUGGGACCUGAGACACGGCCCAGACUCCUACGGAGGCAGCAGUGGGGUACCUGGACAAUGGAAACCUGAUCAGCCAUCCCGCACGUGUGCGAUGAAGGCCUUCGGGUGUAAAGCACUUUUUUAGCAGGAAAAAAACGGCACGGGAUAAUGCCCCGUGCAACUGACGUACAGAAUAGCGCAGCUAGCUUACGUGCCUUUAACCGCGGUAAUACGUGAGGCGCAAGCGUUAAUCGGAAUUACUGGAGCGUAAAGCGUGCGCAGCGGUUCGGAAAGAAAGAUGCUGAAAUCCCAGAGCUUAACUUUGGAACUGCAUUUUUAACUACCGAGCUAGAGUGUGUCAGAGGAGGUGGAAUUCCGCGUGUAGCAGUGAAAUGCGUAGAUAUGCGGAGAGAACACCGAUGGCGAAGGCAGCCUCCUGGGAUAACACUGACCGCUCAUGCACGAAAGCGUGGGGAGCAAACAGGAUUAGAUGCCCUGGUAGUCACGCCCUAAACGAUGUCAACUAGCUGUUGGGGCCUUCGGGCCUUGGUAGCGCAGCUAACGCGUGAAGUUGACCGCCUGGGGUGAUCGCAAGAUUAAAACUCAAAGGAAUUGACGAGGACGCACAAGCGGUGGAUGAUGUGGAUUAAUUCGAUGCAACGCGAAAGACCUACCCUUGACAUCUGGGAUCCGAAGAGAUUUGAGUGCUCGCAAGAGAACCGGAACACAGGUGCUGCCAUGGCUGUCGUCAGCUCGUGUCAAGUGAGAUGUUGGGUUAAGUCCCUGGCGAGCGCAACCCUUGUCGUGGAUUGCUGAAAGGGCGCUCUAAUGAGACUGCCGGUGACAAACCGGAGGAAGGUGGGGAUGACGUCAAGUCCUCAUGGCCCUUAUGGGUAGGGCUUCACACGUCAUACAAUGGUCGGGACAGAGGGUCGCCAACCCGCGAGGAGCCAAUCCCAGAAACCCGAUCGUGAUCGGAGUCGCAGUCUGCAACUCGACUGCGUGAAGUCGGAAUCGCUAGUAAUCGCGGAUCAGCAUGUCUGCCCGGUGAAUACGUUCCCGGGUCUUGUACACACCGCCCGUCACACCAUGGGAAGUGGGUUUUACCAAGUAGUUAGCCUAACCGUAAGGAGGCGAUUACCACGGUAGGAUUCAUGACUGGGUUAAGUCGUAACAAGGUAA
rnacentral:rRNA from 1 species